UUACGGCCACAUCACAUUGAAACACCGGUUCCUGUUCGAUCAACGAAGUUAAGCAAUGUUGAGCUUGGUCAAUACCUCAGACCACUUGAGAAUACCAGGUGCUGUAA